rnacentral:lncRNA from 1 species
AACCAUGGUGAAUCUGGGCCUGUCCCGUGUAGAUGACGCCGUCGCCGCCAAGCACCCGGUGAGAAGGUUGGCCUAGCUGACCUGAGGCAGAGUAGAGGCAGGGGGAGCACGGUCAGGGAGUGGAGGCACCCUCCUGCCUUAGAGAUAGGGCACGCUAAAUGGGUUUAGGAGAGGGUGGAAUAUAUCCAGCCCCCAUUCUCCCUCGCCGAGGCCAGGUGAUGCCUAAAGGAAAAGCUGGAGGAAAGAGAACUGAGCCAUAAACACGUCCCCCACCCUCCAAUUCCAGGGACUCGAGGAAUAUGCUGCCUGCCAGUCGAACGCCUUCAUGAAAGGCGUUUUCACUUUUGUCACAGGAGGCGCCAAGUUGGCAGGUGUGGCAGGUACCCUGACCAGCACUUUGCUUGGCUCUUGGCAGGCACUGGUGUGACUUUUGGCCUGCAGAUGUUCAUUAAGAGGAAGUUUCCAUACCCUGUGCAGUGGGGCUUCCUGGUGUCUGCCGUUGUAGGAUCUGUGGCCAGCUACAGAGUGACAAGAAUGGAGUGUCAGAAAUGCAGCAAUCUGUGGCUCUUCCUGGAGACCGGGCAGCUCCCCAAAGGCAUGAGCACAGAUCACAACAACUAGAAGAGCUCUGGCUGCUGGAGUGUGUAGGAUGUGAGGUGGGGAAGAGCCUAGAGCACAGACUUGGACAGCAUCUAACUCCAGGCUGGUCCUUCCUAGCUCACCAAAUACACAAACAAGCAUGUGUCAUCUCUCUCCUACACGCACAUGGGGGAGCUGCCUGAGAAACCUGUGAAGAUCACUGCUGCUGUGAAGAUCCAUCCAGGAUUUGCCAGGGAGGCCAGCUCAGAAAAGGACUUGGGAGAGGGGGAUCUCUUCCAGAGCAGCAAGGAGCCAGGGUAUCGUUUUGGAUCCUGUCACACACAACUGUUGGGGCAACAGCCUGCGUGUGGCGCUUUCUGUGGUGCUUUGGGGCCCUUAUCUGACAUGUAGGCCCCAAAAUCCAAGGAGAAUGUUGGAGAGUUGUAGCUAAUAAAUGGCUUGUCCUUUUUCCUAUGUGAGAUCUAAAGCAAUUAAACACGAGCUGCUGAGGUAGUUCUGUGGUUAUAGCACCUGGGGCUAAGUCUGGUGACUGACCAGGAACCGAAUGGUGGAUGGAGUAACAACUCCCCCAAAGUGUCCCCUGAUCUCCACAUGCAUACUGUGGCAUAUGGGUCCCCAUUAUGCAUGUACAGACACACGAAAUAAAUAAAUAAAUACAGGUCUAAUAGUAAAAAAGAAAGGCCAGGCAUAGUGGUGUACACCUUUAAUCCCAGCACUCGGGAGGCAGAGGCAGAAGGCUCUGAGUUCAAGGCCAGCCUUGUCUACAGAGUGAGUUCUAGGGUAGCCAGAACUUCAGACAUAAAACUUGUUUUGAAAAUCCAAGAUGCUGGAGAGAUGGCUCAGCGGUUGGGAGCACUGACUGCUCUUCCAGAGGUCCUGAGCUCGGAUCUUAACCACCACAUGGUGGCUCACAACCAUCUUUAAUGGGAUCUGAUGCCCUCUUCUUGUGUGUCUGAAGACAGCUACAGUGUACUUAUAUAUAAUGAAUAAAUAAAUCUUUAAAAAAAAGAAAAUCCAAAUAAAUAAACAAGAAAGU